rnacentral:lncRNA from 1 species
ACCCUAGCCUCAUAACCCUAGACUAGCUCAAGCAUCCAGAAAAUUACGUAGCCCAUUUAACGUAACCCAGUAUUUGUUUCCCUGUUUGAUCCAAACCGAUGACCCAGCUCACCUACCCUCUCUCCACAAACCCAGGCCCAGCCCACUAAUCCAUUUCCAGAAACUCAAUACUCCAGCCGGCGACCCAAUCACCCGAACCUUCAAUGCCGGCAAACCAUCGCGGGUGACCCACCACUGGCCCAAUUGUUCAACAACUUUCUUCGAGGAUUGCUGCCAGCCACCAAUUUCAUUGAUCAAGCAGUUUACUGUCUCUACUACCAAGUAACCCAUUUAGUUACACAGAGGUUUCUAUUUUAGCAUCUGUCCAAUUUCAGUGAAGCCAACAGUUUAGAAUAUGCAAUGACCGUGAGUUCAGGAACUGGAGACAUUUGACACAGGCAGAUCAGAGGCCCAAUCGUUAGCAAUUCAGGCAACUAGACUACAGGGAGUUGCUAUCUCCUAAUUCUCAUUGGUUUAUACUGCUGUUUUAUUUUAAAAGUGCAUCACUUAGAUUCUUUGUGUUGCUGUUACUAUCACAACUUUGACCUCAAACUUCACUUGACUGGAAUCACUCAUUGAAUUGACUUGCCAUUGUUGCCCCAUUUAUCUCACUGAAUUGAUGUGCCAUUGUUACCUCUUUUUCUACCUGAUUGGAAAUCUUGACAAUACCAUUUGAUCUUGACAAGCAUUGGACCCUUGCUUUAUUAUUUACAAAUAUCAGCACUAUUAACUUGCAUUUUUGGAAGGGAAGAAAAGAGAGAGAGAGAAUUUCAAAUUGAUGUUUUAAUCGUUGGUCCUUGAUGCAUAUUGGUCUCUCUAUUGCAUUUCAUUUAGGUAGUAUUGCUUUGCGUACAAUUGCAUAGUGGUCGUUCUGUCACUUUACUACUUUAAACAUGAACCCCUCACAAUUUGAUGCACUCACCCGACAAAUAGCGGCUAUCCAAACUCAGGUGAUUACUACUCUUGAAGAAAGUAAGGCUUUAUCUGCUAAUUUGAACAACUUUAAGAAAAUCCCUCGUUCAACCGACAUUCAUAAAUCCAAAGUGUCCCAUAAUAGACAUUAUCAUCAUUAUCAUGGUGAUCAAAAAUGCUUUAGACACGAUCGUAGGUAUAGGAAUCAGAUUCGUGAGCGAGAACGAGAUAAUUUUG